rnacentral:rRNA from 1 species
GAUGAACGCUGGCGGCGUGCCUAAUACAUGCAAGUCGAACGCAUAGCGAAAGGUGCUUGCACCUUUCAAGUGAGUGGCGAACGGGUGAGUAACACGUGGACAACCUGCCUCAAGGCUGGGGAUAACAUUUGGAAACAGAUGCUAAUACCGAAUAAAACUUAGUGUCGCAUGACACAAAGUUAAAAGGCGCUUCGGCGUCACCUAGAGAUGGAUCCGCGGUGCAUUAGUUAGUUGGUGGGGUAAAGGCCUACCAAGACAAUGAUGCAUAGCCGAGUUGAGAGACUGAUCGGCCACAUUGGGACUGAGACACGGCCCAAACUCCUACGGGAGGCUGCAGUAGGGAAUCUUCCACAAUGGGCGAAAGCCUGAUGGAGCAACGCCGCGUGUGUGAUGAAGGCUUUCGGGUCGUAAAGCACUGUUGUAUGGGAAGAACAGCUAGAAUAGGAAAUGAUUUUAGUUCGACGGUACCAGACCAGAAAGGGACGGCUAAAUACGUG